rnacentral:rRNA from 2 species
CUCAACCUGGGAACUGCAUUCGAAACUGGCAGGCUUGAGUCUUGUAGAGGGGGGUAGAAUUCCAGGUGUAGCGGUGAAAUGCGUAGAGAUCUGGAGGAAUACCGGUGGCGAAGGCGGCCCCCUGGACAAAGACUGACGCUCAGGUGCGAAAGCGUGGGGAGCAAACAGGAUUAGAUCCCCUGGUAGUCCACGCCGUAAACGAUGUCUACUUGGAGGUUGUGCCCUUGAGGCGUGGCUUCCGGAGCUAACGCGUUAAGUAGACCGCCUGGGGAGUACGGCCGCAAGGUUAAAACUCAAAUGAAUUGACGGGGGCCCGCACAAGCGGUGGAGCAUGUGGUUUAAUUCGAUGCAAC